rnacentral:rRNA from 1 species
AGAGUUUGAUCCUGGCUCAGGACGAACGCUGGCGGCGCGCCUAACACAUGCAAGUCGAACGGAGCUUAGAGAGCUUGCUUUUUAAGCUUAGUGGCGAACGGGUGAGUAACGCGUGAGUAACCUGCCCUAGAGUGGGGGACAACAGUUGGAAACGACUGCUAAUACCGCAUAAGCCCACGGUGCCGCAUGGUACUGAGGGAAAAGGAUUUAUUCGCUUUAGGAUGGACUCGCGUCCAAUUAGCUAGUUGGUGAGGUAACGGCCCACCAAGGCGACGAUUGGUAGCCGGACUGAGAGGUUGAACGGCCACAUUGGGACUGAGACACGGCCCAGACUCCUACGGGAGGCAGCAGUGGGGGAUAUUGCACAAUGGGGGAAACCCUGAUGCAGCGACGCCGCGUGGAGGAAGAAGGUCUUCGGAUUGUAAACUCCUGUUGUUGAGGAAGAUAAUGACGGUACUCAACAAGGAAGUGACGGCUAACUACGUGCCAGCAGCCGCGGUAAAACGUAGGUCACAAGCGUUGUCCGGAAUUACUGGGUGUAAAGGGAGCGCAGGCGGGAAGACAAGUUGGAAGUGAAAUCCAUGGGCUCAACCCAUGAACUGCUUUCAAAACUGUUUUUCUUGAGUAGUGCAGAGGUAGGCGGAAUUCCCGGUGUAGCGGUGGAAUGCGUAGAUAUCGGGAGGAACACCAGUGGCGAAGGCGGCCUACUGGGCACCAACUGACGCUGAGGCUCGAAAGUGUGGGUAGCAAACAGGAUUAGAUACCCUGGUAGUCCACACCGUAAACGAUGAUUACUAGGUGUUGGAGGAUUGACCCCUUCAGUGCCGCAGUUAACACAAUAAGUAAUCCACCUGGGGAGUACGACCGCAAGGUUGAAACUCAAAGGAAUUGACGGGGGCCCGCACAAGCAGUGGAGUAUGUGGUUUAAUUCGA